rnacentral:rRNA from 1 species
GUGCCAGCAGCCGCGGUAAGACGUAGGACGCGAGCGUUAUCCGGAUUUACUGGGCGUAAAGCGUGUGUAGGCGGCGUGACAAGUUGGGCGUGAAAGCCCCGUGCUCAACGCGGGGAGGCCGCACAAUACUGUCAGGCUAGAGGGCAUCAGAGGGGUGUGGAAUUCCCGGAGUAGCGGUAAAAUGCGCAGAUAUCGGGAGGAACACCGGUGGCGAAAGCGGCACCCUGGGGUGCACCUGACGCUGAGAGACGACAGCUAGGGGAGCGAACAGGAUUAGAGACCCUGGUAGUCCUAGCCGUAAACGAUGGAUGCUAGGUGUGGGAGUGAAGAACUUCUGUGCCGCAGCGAACGCGAUAAGCAUCCCGCCUGGGGAGUACGGCCGCAAGGUUAAAACUCAAACGAAUUGACGGGGACCCGCACAAGCAGCGGAGCGUGUGGUUUAAUUCGAUGCUACACGAAGAACCUUACCUGGGAUUGACAUAUGGGUGGUAGUGAGCCGAAAGGCAAGCGACCCUUCGGGGAGCCUAUACAGGUGCUGCAUGGCUGUCGUCAGCUCGUGCCGUGAGGUGUCGGGUUAAGUCCCGUAACGAGCGCAACCCCUGUCCUUAGUUACAAGUGUCUAAGGGGACUGCCGGCGGGAAGCCGGAGGAAGGUGGGGAUGACGUCAAGUCAGCAUGGCCCUUAUAUCCAGGGCGACACACACGCUACAAUGGUCGGUACAGAGGGCAGCGAAGCCGCGAGGUGGAGCGAAACCCAGAAAGCCGGUCGUAGUUCGGAUUGCAGGCUGCAACUCGCCUGCAUGAAG